rnacentral:rRNA from 1 species
ACGUAGCCUGGAAUGGGGGAUAACGUAGCGAAAGUUACGCUAAUACCGCAUACGAUCUACGGAUGAAAGGGGGGGAUCGCAAGACCUCAUGCUUGUGGAGCGGCCGGUAUCUAAUUAGGUAGUUGGUGGGGUAAAAGCCUACCAAGGCGUCCAUCAGUAGCUGGUCUGAGAAGACGACCAGCCACACUGUAAGUGAGACACGGUCCACCGUCCUACGGGAGGCAGCAGUGGGGAAUUUUGGACAAUGGGCGAAAG